UACAGAGGGGGCAAGCGUUGUUCGGAAUUACUGGGCGUAAAGGGCUCGUAGGCGGCCAACUAAGUCAGACGUGAAAUCCCUCGGCUUAACCGGGGAACUGCGUCUGAUACUGGAAGGCUUGAGUUCGGGAGAGGGAUGUGGAAUUCCAGGUGUAGCGGUGAAAUGCGUAGAUAUCUGGAGGAACACCGGUGGCGAAGGCGGCAUCCUGGACCGAAACUGACACUGAGGCGCGAAAGCCAGGGGAGCAAACGGG
rnacentral:rRNA from 1 species